UGACCCUUCAGUAACAGCCCACUCCUUCCACUCACUGCUUGUAUCACUACCACUACUCCAUGACCCACUCUCCUGAAUCUUUCCUUCCUGCCCUUCUACUCAAUACCUCACCUAAUGCCAUACCUCUCCUUCCUUCCUGGCCUAUCCUUCCCAAUGACUUUGCUUUUCUCCCUCAGUCCCACUGCUCUAGCCCAAAACUGUGCUCCUACAGCAACUCUGCUGGCUACGCAUCCCACGAGACCAUGCAGCUCCCCCCAGUGAAACCUCUCCAUAAACAAAUUCAGCCCUAUACUUCCCAGCUAUCCUGGUGCCUAUAUAGAAAAUACGUCUGUAUGGAAACUGUUGAGUCACAGCCUGAACCACUGAUUGAGCACCUGGAGAAAAGACCUAGUCAGCACUGGAUGUACAGGUGAUCCAGGCAAUCUCAGCCUUUGUGAGGAUGAGCCUGCCUGUGAAGGGGCCCAGGUGUGGACAUCAAGCAUUGCUGUGUGCUGCCACAGGCCAAGGAGUGACCCUGAGGAGUGGAAAAAGGAAAGAUUAUACUGGCAAAGCCCUGGCAGUUGGAGAACUCACCAUCAUCCUCUGGGCCCUUGGAGAUCCUUCCUGCCUCACCUGCCUACUUCCACCUGGUCCUGAUGUCUGAGAGUUAAUUCCUUUACAAUGUUUCCUCCCAGGUUGUGCGUAUAGUGGAGCAUCACUGCAAAAUCUCUUAGGUUUUAUUCACAGUAACUGAGUAAGUAGUGCAUGAACCUUCUCCAUAUUGCCACGACAAAAAGCAACCUGAAACCCUGUCAGUAUGACACAGAAAUGCAUCUUCCUCAGCAUGGUUCCAGGAUAAGUGGGCUGUCCCAGGUAGAUCACAGAGUCAGUGGUCUUACUCAGCUUUGGUCCAAGCAGGCUCGCUGAUCUCCUUGGAAGGCAACACCAAAGUCUUCUGGGGUGAAACUCAUGUCUCUGUGUAUCUUUCUGCAGUUGGCUUCAAGACUUGCAGCUCUUUGGGCAUGAAAAGCAGUGAAAAGCACUGGGCUUGAAGGCUUUGUGCUCUCCCUGAUGCUCACUGCAGGAAAAUAUCUGUGCAUCUCUGGCAAGGAAAGUAACAGCCCAACAUCAGGCCAGAGAUACCAUGGCCUUGCUUCUUGGAAAUCUGGGUUGCUAAAUUAAAUAUAACAUGAAUCAAUACUGAGCCUCAGGGGAUUUUCACCCACUGGCUGCCACGCUGAUGAAAGUCCUGCUGUUAGCUGGACUCCUCCCUGCUCUACUUACUGCACUGCAAUGUCAAUAGGAGCCAAUCUCUGCCCACUGAUGCAUGUGUUUCUAACUUCCUCAGACUUGUGGAUGGAUUUAUUUCUUUCAUGCCCCACAGCUGCUUGCCCCAAAUGAACAUCAAGCUCAAGCCAGCACCUGAAGCCAGUGUCCUUCCUCAGCACCAGAUCUCAGACCAAGAUCCAAGGGUAAUGUGCCUAGAGAACAGAUCUUCUCUCCUUGCCUGAAGCCAAGCUCCCCAGCACAGCAUGAGAUGGUGACAGCAUCUGAGGAUGCAGCAUGAUUCCUAUGGCAGCUCCAAGACAACAAAUUGGUGCAUUACUCUCCCACAGAGUAUCUCCUACAGUCUUUUCCAAACAAUGUUCUUGCCACUGUUGGUUUUCCUAAGUCAAUUUUCCUCCACCUUAAGUCUGAAGAUGACAAACAUUACUUUACACUGAUUAAGGUCUUCCUCCAGAGUACCUGUCCUAUUCAGUCCAAUGCAGCAGGAAAAUGCCUCCAACUCAUGCAUUAGCUCCUGUUUCCUCUAUUUAUUACCCUUUAUCCACCAGCAGAAAGUUCAUACAGAGGCAUCAGAAUAGCCGUACUGGUACUAGAAAGCAAUUUGUUAGCUCGGCAUCACAGGGAUGGUGCACUCUUCCUAUUUGCCCCAGUGUAAAGCUAUAGCAUUACCUCUAGGAAGAAGACAAUCUCUAUUUCUUGGGAUAUUUAGACUAAACAAAAUGGUAGGCAGCAUAUAAAAAGUCAGGGCCCUAUGCUGGCUUCUGGAAAAAGCUAUUGCCCCUCAAUUUCUUUCCCAGCUCUAGCUGGAGUGGGAUAGUAUGUGUGCGAGUAAAUGUGAAUGUGUAUGUAUAUAUAUAUAUAUAUAGGCAUACAUUUGGAAUACGUACUAUAACCAUGCACCUAAGUGUGUGCAGAAUGCAGCAGAGCAUGUGUAAUUGGGAAGGUGAAGACAAAAAAAGAACUACAGCCAUGCAGACACACACAAGUAUUUGAGAGUGAGAUCAGGUUAUGCCUGUUGUUUAUACAGUGCAUUCGUGAAGAGGAGGGAAGGUAUGAGAGAAGCUGAAGAAACGCAGGCUUUCUGUGCUCAUCCCUGCUGACACCCAGCUAUCCCUGCAUGGUGCUCCCCAUGCUCUGAUCAUUAAAAGAAAUCUAAAGAGACACACUCAGGUCCAACAAGGACUCUGCUCUGCAGAAAAGCUAUUACAUCCCUCCUGGAUCCGAGCUGAUCCUGGAAAAGGAACACGCAGCAAGUAGCUGAGUAAGUGACCC